rnacentral:rRNA from 1 species
GACGAACGCUGGCGGCGUGCUUAACACAUGCAAGUUGCGCGAGAAAGCUGCCUUCGGGCAGUAAGUAAAGCGGCGAACGGGUGAGUAACGCGUGGGUUACCUGCCUCUAAGUUAGGGAUAACUUUGCGAAAGUAAAGCUAAUACCUAAUAUCAAAAGAUGGCUCUGCUAUCGCUUAGAGAUGGGCCCGCGUCCCAUUAGCUUGUUGGUAGUGUAAGAGACUACCAAAGCAACAAUGGGUAGCCGACCUGAGAGGGUGAUCGGCCACACUGGGACUGAGACACGGCCCAGACUCCUACGGGAGGCUGCAGUGGGGAAUCUUCCGCAAUGAGCGAAAGCUUGACGGAGCAACGCCGCGUGAGUGAUGAAGGCCUUCGGGUCGUAAAGCUCUGUCCUAAGGGAAGAACAUCCCGGUAGAUAAGAUCUGCUGGGCUUGACGGUACCUUUGGAGGAAGCCUCGGCUAAUUACGUGCCAGCAGCCGCGGUAAUACGUAAGAGGCAAGCGUUGUCCGGAAUCACUGGGCGUGAAGGGUGCGCAGGCGGUCUAGUAAGCCAAAAGUGAAAUCCAUCGGCUCAACCGGUGAACUGCUUUUGAAACUAUUAGACUUGAGGACAGAAGAAGAGAGUGGAAUUCCUGGUGUAGUGGUGAAAUACGUAGAUAUCAGGAAGAAUACCAAUGGCGAAAGCAGCUCUCUAAUCUGAUUCUGACGCUGAGGUACGAAAGCUAGGGUAUCAAACGGGAUUAGAUACCCCGGUAGUCCUAGCUGUAAACGCUGGACACUAGGUGUUGGGGGUUCAACUCCCUCAGUACUGCAGUUAACGCGUUAAGUGUCCCGCCUGGGGAUUACGACCGCAAGGUUGAAACUCAAAGGAAUUGACGGGGGCCCGCACAAGCGGUGGAGCAUGUGGCUCAAUUCGAUGCAACGCGAAGAACCUUACCUAGGCUCGAACGCUAGAGGACCGCUCCUGAAAGGGAGCUUCCCCUUUGGGGCCUCUAGCGAGGUACUGCAUGGCUGUCGUCAGCUCGUGUCGUGAGAUGUUGGGUUAAGUCCCGCAACGAGCGUAACCCCUGUUGCUAGUUACCAUCGGGUAGUGCCGGGGACUCUAGCGAAACUGCCUGCGCAAGCAGUGAGGAAGGUGGGGAUGACGUCAAGUCAUCAUGGUCCUUACGCCUAGGGCUGCACACGUGCUACGAAUGGCCGGUACAACGGGUAGCCGACCUCGCGAGAGGGAGCGAAUCCUUAAAAACCGGUCCCGGUUCGGAUUGGAGUCUGCGAACUGAACUCCUUGAAAGCUGAAAAUCGCUAGUUAAUCGCGGAUCGGCGAAUGCCGCGGUGGAUCCGUUUCCCGGGCCUUGUACGCGCCGCCCGUCGAAGCCGUGAAGGCUGGAGGGCCCGAAAGUCCGUGAACUCGGACUCCGGUCUUGCGUCGAAGAGAGAGCGGCCGAAGGUGAGUUCGGUGACUGGGGCGU